rnacentral:misc_RNA from 1 species
GUCUGAUCCGGAGGCGGCGGCAGCCAUGCUAGAGCAACUGUUACGUGGCGGCGGCGACAGGCAGAGUGGUAAUUUAUCCCUUACUCCGAUCAUGAUGGCUAUGGUGCGGCCGGCGGCCGCCGGAGAUACUGCGUCUCCGCCGCCCAGUCGGGUUGUUCUGAUAAAUCCCCGGACGCGGUCGAUGGUCGUUUUGAGAGGCGAAGCAGUGGAUAUUCUCAUGGGAGGGAGCGGGCGAUCUGGCACACCGCCGGCGUCGAAGGCGUCAAUUGAAGGGAUGCGGACCGUGGAGGCUGAAGAGUUGGAGGCGGAGCAGGAGUGUGCGGUGUGCCUCGACGAGUUUGGGGUUAAAGGUGUGAAGGAGAUGCCGUGCAAGCACCAAUUUCAUGGGGGGUGUAUUGAGAAGUGGCUGGGGAUGCACGGAUCGUGCCCGGUGUGCCGGUUUCAGAUGCCGGAAGAGGAGAGGAGUGGCGGCCAGAUGCAGGCUGAGGAGAGUGGCGGCGGAGAGGAGCAGCAGGCGGCGACAACUUGGAUGGUGCAGGUUUCGAUCACUAUAGCGCCAGAUGCCAGAGGAACUACUGAAGAAUUGCAAGGAGUGGGUGAUGGUGGGCAUUGAUGUGAUGUGUUUGUUAGAUAUUUUUUCCUCCUGGAUUUUAUAUUCUAUACAGG